rnacentral:miRNA from 1 species
UGGGGGCUGGAUGGGGUAGAGU